rnacentral:rRNA from 1 species
UACGGAGGGGGUAAGCGUUGUUCGGAAUUACUGGGCGUAAAGGGCUCGUAGGCGGCCAACUAAGUCAGACGUGAAAUCCCUCAGCUUAACUGGGGAACUGCGUCUGAUACUGGAUGGCUUGGAUUCGGGAGAGGAAUGCGGAAUUCCAGGUGUAGCGGUGAAAUGCGUAGAUAUCUGGAGGAACACCUAUGGCGAAGGCAGCUCUCUGGGACGGUACUGACGCUGAGACGCGAAAGCGUGGGGAGCGAACAGG